AUACUUACCUGGACGGGGUCUAUGGCCGAUCAAGAAGGGUCAUGGCCUAGGCUAGUGGCCAACAUUGCACUUGGUUGGUGGGUUGGCCUAUCAUCUCCCCAAGUGGAAGAAUGAACGUCAUAAUUUGUGAUAGAGAGGGUACGCGUUCGCGCGGCCCCUGC
rfam:Triticum aestivum genome assembly, contig: Triticum_aestivum_CS42_TGACv1_scaffold_513952_6BS